rnacentral:rRNA from 1 species
UACAGAGGCCCCAAGCGUUACUGAGAAUCACUGGGUUUAAAGGGUGCGUAGGUGGCGCGUUAAGUCCGUUGUGAAAUCCCUUGGCUCAACCAAGGAACUGCUUCGGAUACUGGCGUGCUUGAGGCUAGUAGAGGUCACUGGAACUGACGGUGGAGCGGUGAAAUGCGUAGAUAUCGUCAGGAACGCCAAUGGUGAAGACAGGUGACUGGGCUAGUUCUGACACUGAGGCACGAGAGCGUGGGGAGCGAACGGG